rnacentral:lncRNA from 1 species
GUGAUUAGUGUUUCAGGCAGUGUCAGCGAUUGAUGUGGUGGUUUUUGAAAGGUAGCGGUGUGGGCAUUGUUUAUGGAGGAAGUGGGUUUUCUGGUUUGGUGUUCUUAAGGUUGGUGGUGUUAUGGAUUUUGACGGACAGUAAUGGUGUUUUAGUGUUAGGUAAGUGCGAUCGUAUGCGGGGGUUGUUGUGUAUAAGGAAAGGUAUUUGAACGGUGGUCGACGGUGGAGGGAAGGAGAGGUGAAUGGUAGUAGAGAGAAAAGAAUGUGUGAUAGUGCUCACGAAUCAAUGUCAUUUAUUGUUAGCUUGGUGUUGGAAAGGAAGAAAGAAGACAAAUUGGCAACCGACCGGUGCGGCGGCAGUGUUUGGUUAUGAUGGCG